rnacentral:lncRNA from 10 species
CUUGCAUCAGCAAAUGCCUUUGAUUAGCCUGGCCAGCAGAAAUAACCUACUGAGCCUUGAGUAGACGUGGCAGACAGAAAUCUAAACAUCACCCAAAGCAGUGAAGUCCCAGGCAUUAAUCUUCAACAAAUAUUUAUUGAAAUCUGGCAGUCCAGACAUGCUUAUUCCAGGAGAAGCUGACAAGUAAAAGAGGGAGAAAGAGAGACAGGCAUGCGACCAAGCACAGUUUAUUUUCACAAGCUGCAUGCUAGCGAACAAAGACCUAGGAGAGCACAUCAAAAAAGGCAAUAUGUUCUGGCUGGGGGCUUGGAGCAGUCUGGAAGAACUCACAGAAGUGAUGACAUUCAAAGAAGGCCUGAGGAAGUAAAGAAAUUCACCGGGCAGAGAAAGAAGGGAAGGACAUUUUACAUCAGAGUGGGAACAGCACGAGCAUAUCAUGGCAGCGAAGAGCAUAUGGCACUUUUAUGAUAGAACGUAAGAUGCAGAGGUGGGAAGGUGGCAGAGGACAUUCAAAAGUGACGUUGCAGUCAUAUUCUGAGGGAUCUGACAGAUGAGCUGUUAAGAAAUAUGGACUCUGUUCUAUCAGUAUUAUGAAAUCAUUGAAUCAUUCAUUCAUUGAAAUGGUAUUUUCGGAGGACUUACUAUGUGCUAAGUACUGUGUCAGCCUCUGAAGAUUAAAAUAAAAAGGAAGGCCCUCCAGGGACUCACAGUCUGGUAGGGAGAAAGGCAGGCAAACAGUCACAGUACGAAGGGCAUCAUAAGCUUUUAAAGCUCCAGCCAUUCUACCUGCCAUCCAAGCAGUGAGAAGAGGAGAGAGAGAGGAAGACAAAUAGGAGAAGAGCUUUCUAUACAGCAUUCCUGGAUGUCUCGUCCAACAUUUGUUGGAUGUUAUUGGAUGUUCCAUCAUACUUGUGGGCCAGGACUUAGUUAAAUGGCUACACCUUGCUACAAGGAAGUCUGGGAAAUACAGUCUUUCAGCUGGAUACAUCCCCCUGGCCUGAAUAAAAGCUGGGUUCUCUUACAAAGCACAAAAAGGGGAUUGAAUAUUGGUUAGGCACCUGUCAAUCUUUCAUAUCAGCCCACGUGAGAUAGCCAGGGUUUGGUGAAAUAAAAUGCUGUUUCUCCUCAAAACACUUCUCUCUUCCUGAUUGGGGAGGGACCCUGUUCUCUGCAGAGAAAUUCUUUCUCAUGACAGGGCCAACAUGUCUGCCAAAAGACAGCAAUAGGACUUCCCAAUCAUUCUAUAUAUUUAAGGGAGACUUUUUAAAAACUACAAUACGGUUGAACUCAUGUGAUUUUUUUUUUUGCCAUGAAGUUUCUUGUUAAGCAUUGAACAUUUAAAAGUAAAUUUUGACUAAUGUGAAAUAAAAGAAUGUUACUUGAAGCAACAAAAAAUGCUAAGUAUCAUUAGUCAUUAGGAAAUGCAAACUUUAAUGAGAUACCAUUAUAUACCUACUGAACUGGCUACAAUGAAAAAUACUGACUCUGGUAUUUUAAAAGAUUGUUUAUUAACAGUUGUCCAGGGGAGCAAUUGGAACCCAUGUCAUUGCUGGUGGAGAGACGAAAUUGUACAGCCAUUUUGGAAACCUGACUGGUGGUUUUAAAAGAUUAAACUCAUUCUUACCAUAUAACUCCAAAAUUCUGCUUCUAGGCAUUUAGUUCUUUCCACACAAAGUCUUGAACACCAGUGUCCAUAGCAGCCUCAAACUAGAAGAACAGGUGUGUCAGCAGGUGAAUGUGCAUCAACAGGAUAGCUGAGAAGUCCGUAUCAUUUUCAAUGCUACCAAUGGAUGACUGGAAGAAAGGAAAGAAUUGGCAGUUUGGACUUCACGCUAGGGGCUCAGGAAAGAAGACAAGAAUAUUUAUGAAAGGAAACAGAUCCUACCCAAUGAUCUCUCAACAACCUUUAUUACAUUAAGAUAUCCUUGAUGAAAGAGCCAAGUUGACAACUCCGAGACAUUUAGGAAAAAAUGUGAUCAGAUUUGAGACUUACCGCAAGAGGCUUCCCAUGCAAGAUGUAGAGUGAGCCCCAGGUCUCUCUGAAAAUUACCAAAAAGAUAUUUUGAAAAGUAUACAACCGUACAUGUGCCGUUAGUAGCCCAGAAACAUUAAGGAAUACCUAGAAGAUAGAAGUGGAUGGAUAAAUUUAAUGCAAAAAGAAGAGGAAACUGUAGCUAAAGUUUCUGUAGUUAAAGAAAUAACACUACCAAGAAGAAGCAAAUCUUUGAGGAAAACUGAGAACAAGUAAUAGAAAGACCAAGGUGAAAAAUCCUCAUUACUAAUUUCAGAGAAAAUAGAAUUUGUUCCAUAAACAGAAUAGAACCUUAAAAAUGGUCACAGUGUCUCAGAGAGACUCUGAUCUAGAGGAUAUCACAGUAAAACAUGUGAGAACAGGUUAUUUGCUUAUUUGUUAAUUCACCAAUUUGACAAAUGUGUAUUAGUGUCUAUCACGUGCCAGGCACCAUUCUAGAUGUCAGGGAUAAGGGAGUAACCAAAACAGAAAAAAAUUUCUGCCUUCUUUAAAAUUAAACAAGGGCAUGAUAUCCACCAAUUAAUCAAUAAGAUGUGGUAUAUCAUCAGUACAUAAAAUAUUAUGGAGAAAAAUAAAGCAGAGAAUGGAGUAAGAGAGUGAACAGUAGGGUUGGAAUCUUAAAUAGAAGGGCCACAAAAGACGUCGCUGAGAUCUGAAUGAAUUGGGGAAGCAAGUCACACACAUAUCUGGAGGAAGAGUAUUCCAAGUCUAAAGGAGAAGUGCAAACGCCCUGGGGUGAGUGUGGUUGAAAUAGAGUGAGGGAGAAGGUGAUGUGUCGAAGACAUGAUAAAAGAAAUAGUGGGGGUCCCUAUCAAAUAAGACUUAGUAGGCCACGGCAAAGACUUCAAAUUUUAUUCUGAAUGAGAUGGGAAGCCACUGGAGUAUUUUAGGCAGAGGAAUGCAGUGACGUUACUUACAUUAAAAAAAAAAAUCACUCUGAACUUCUUCUAGGUGGAGAACAGACGCUGGGGACAGGGAGGGCAAGGGAUACGAGGAGUUAGGUUAUUUUCAUAGUCAGUUGAAGGCCGGGCGUGGUGGCUCGUGCCUGUAAUCUCAGCACUUUGGGAGGCUGAGGCGGGUGGAUCACAAGGUCAGGAGUUCAAGAUCAUCCUGGCCAACAGGGCGAAAGCCCAUCACUACUAAAAAUAAAAAAUUAGCCGGGCGUGGUGGCACGCACCUGUAAUCCCAGGUACUCAGGAGGCUGAGGCAGGAGAAUCGCUUGAACUCAGGAGGUGGAGGCUGCAGUGAGCCAAGAUUGCGCCCCUGCACUCCAGCCUGAGUGACAGAGCGAGACUCUGUAUCAGAAAAUAAACAGAUAAAAAUUAAAACAGCCCAGUUGAGGGGUGAUGUGACUUAGAUCUGGACAUUAUAGAUAAAUAAACUUGGUGAGAAGUAAUUGAAUUCUGGCUAGGUGGAAGUUUGAAUAAAGUGUGCUUGGAACUAAAAAUAUAUGAUUUCCUGAAACAUACAUAUAUAGGUUCGUUUAUACAUACAUCAGUGGAUGGGCUGAAUUUAAAAACUAGACAAUUCAUCACACUACUCAGAAUGGAAAAAAAAACCGGAGAUAAAAUUAUUAAUCUAGAAGGCAAAGUUAAGGAAACAUCCCGUUAUAGUACCCAAAGACAAAAAGAUUAAAAUUUAAAAAAACUUUAAAAGCCAUAAAGGAUAGAUGCAGGGGAUUAAAAAUAUAUCCAAUAGGAAUUUUCAGCAAGGAAGAACAGGGAAAAGAGGAGAAGAAAUAAGGAAGUAACAGAAAGAAAACUCUUGGAGAUUAAAAAACAGAACAGGAAUCUUCCAACUGGAAUUUCAAACACUAAGCCAGGCUAAGGAAAACAACAAAAAGCUUCUUGGACAGAGAACUCUAGAGAGAAAGCAAGGUCUCUUAUAAAGGAAUGAGAACAGACUAGCAUCAAACUUCUAACUGGAAACCCUAGGUAUUAUACAUUAAAAAAAAUUCAAAGUUCUGAGGGAAAAAAAUAUUUUGAUUCUAGAAUAUCUUCAUUCAGUCAAAAUAAUCAAAUGUGAAGGCAAAACAAAACACUUUCAGACAUGAAAAUUAUCAUCUUGGGCACAUGGAUGAAAAUAUCGCUCUACAGUGCUUGUUAGGAACAAUGAAAGGUCUGAGAGUUUACCCUGCUUGCAGCUCAGUUAGUCUACCAAUUUCAGAGAUGCUGGCAGAAGAAAUGAGACUCCCAGUCAGAGACAAACAACUUCAUUAUUCACCGCACAGCAGGCAGCAUGAGCUUCCUGUUUGCAUUGGUACCUUUGUGCCUCCAUAGGGGAGACGCAGGGCUGCCCGGGCUGGUGCUGUGUUUACAGUGGGUCUGCAUUCACAGCCAAGGAUCCCUGAGUUUAGGAAACCCCCAAUCUUAAGAAGUCUGCCAGUAAACCCAGCCAACUUUUCCUAUGGAGGAAGAAGCUAUCUUUAUUAUCCUGGUCAGGAAUCAAACUUGCUCUCUGCCUCAGAGGAAGACACUAAUCUUGCUGUACAAAUGUCCUUGAAAAGAGAGUCUUGGAUAACACAUGGAGAAUUGCCUCCCACCCCUGCAACAAUAUUCUAGCGAGAUAAAGGAAGAAUCCAAGAAAGAGGACAAUACAGGAUACACUUAUGUAAAAAUUAGUUACAGUUGAAUAUGACCAGGAGAAAUGUAUAACAUUAGAAAGAAAAUAAAAUGGAAUUGCUGUGAGAUGGUUGGAAGACACUCCCUUGACCAGCAGAGUUUAAGUUGCAUAGCAUUACGUUUACAUUUCAUUCUAUCUGGCUUAUGG